GAUGAACGCUGGCGGCGUGCUUAACACAUGCAAGUCGAGCGGAGUUUUACUUUCGGGUAAAACUUAGCGGCGGACGGGUGAGUAACGUGUGGGUAACCUGCCUUAUACUGGGGAAUAGCCAUUGGAAACGAUGAUUAAUACCCCAUGUCAUUACAGAGAGGCAUCUCUCUGUAAGAAAAGGAUUUAUUCGGUAUAAGAUGGACCCGCAUCUGAUUAGCUAGUUGGUGAGAUAAUAGCUCACCAAGGCAACGAUCAGUAGCCGACCUGAGAGGGUGAUCGGCCACAUUGGGACUGAGACACGGCCCAAACUCCUACGGGAGGCAGCAGUGGGGAAUAUUGCACAAUGGGCGAAAGCCUGAUGCAGCAACGCCGCGUGAAGGAAGAAGGUUUUUGGAUCGUAAACUUCUAUCAACAGGGACGAAACAAAUGACGGUACCUGAAUAAGAAGCACCGGCUAAAUACGUGCCAGCAGCCGCGGUAAUACGUAUGGUGCAAGCGUUAUCCGGAAUUACUGGGUGUAAAGGGAGCGUAGGCGGUAUGAUAAGCCAGAUGUGAAAGCCCGAAGCUCAACUUCGAGGAUUGCAUUUGGAACUAUCAAACUAGAGUACAGGAGAGGUAAGUGGAAUUCCUAGUGUAGCGGUGAAAUGCGUAGA
rnacentral:rRNA from 1 species